GAUGAACGCUAGCGGCAAGCUUAAUACAUGCAAGUCGAGGGGCAGCAUGACUGUAGCAAUACAGUUGAUGGCGACCGGCAAACGGGUGCGGAACACGUACAGAACCUUCCUUCGAGCGGGGAAUAGCCCAGAGAAAUUUGGAUUAAUACCCCAUAGUAUAUUGGAGUGGCAUCACUUUGAUAUUAAAGAUUUAUCACUUGAAGAUGGCUGUGCGGCUGAUUAGAUAGUUGGCGGGGUAACGGCCCACCAAGUCUGCGAUCAGUAACUGGUGUGAGAGCACGACCAGUCACACGGGCACUGAGACACGGGCCCGACUCCUACGGGAGGCAGCAGUAAGGAUAUUGGGUCAAUGGACGAAGU
rnacentral:rRNA from 1 species